CCUACGGGAGGCAGCAGUGAGGAAUAUUGGUCAAUGGGCGAGAGCCUGAACCAGCCAAGUCGCGUGAAGGAUGAAGGAUCUAUGGUUUGUAAACUUCUUUUAUAAAGGAAUAAAGUGAGGCACGUGUGCCUUUUUGUAUGUACUUUAUGAAUAAGGAUCGGCUCACUCCGUGCCAGCAGCCGCGGUAAUACGGAGGAUCCGAGCGUUAUCCGGAUUUUUUGGGUUUAAAGGGAGCGUAGAUGGGUUGUUAAGUCAGUUGUGAAAGUUUGCGGCUCAACCGUAAAAUUGCAAUUGAUACUGGCAGUCUUGAGGACAGUUGAGGUAGGCGGAAUUCGUGGUGUAGCGGUGAAAUGCUUAGAUAUCACGAAGAACUCCGAUUGCGAAGGCAGCUUACUAAACUGCCACUGACAUUGAUGCUCGAAAGUGUGGGUAUCAAACAGGAUUAGAUACCCGGGUAGUC
rnacentral:rRNA from 1 species